rnacentral:rRNA from 1 species
AUGCUUGCGGUAACCAACCUCUGGAUGGCCUGCAAAGGUACUACUCAAAGACAAUUCCUGCUGCCAGGGUUCAGGGCCUCUCCGGAUGACUACCUCGACAAGAACAGGAUCUUCCUCCUGUCCAACGGCUCUGUUUUCGGGUUCGGUUUUGUUGGCGCGCCAGAGAGCACGGCCGACAACACGACCUUCCUUCUCGCCGUCGUCCACCUAGGCACCACUUGUGUCGUCUGGGUCGCCAACGCCGACUCACCCGUCUCUCCUUCGGGGAGUAGCUUCGUGUUCGACAAGGAUGGCAACGCCUACCUGGAGUCUGCCGCAGGACCCACCAUCUGGAUCGCCAACACCUCUGGCGAGGGCGCCUCCAUGCGGCUGCUGGACUCCGGCAACCUCCAAGUGCUCAACGGAGAUAGCAACUCGCCUUCUCUGUGGUCCAGCUUCAAGUACCCAACCAACACACUCGUUUCAGGCCAGAGCUUCAUCGACGGCAUGCCGCCCCUCAAGAGCAUGUCGUACAGGCUUGAGAUCAAAUCGGGGGACAUGAUGCUCGGAGCUAUAGCCGGCUAUUUAAAACAUUGGGAGAAAACCCAGCCCUACUGGUCUGCGAGCAUGGAUCCCAGGCUGGUCGCCGUCAAGGAAGGUGCCAUAUACUGUGCGAACCUCGGCUCAGCUUCCUGGAACUUCUAUGAUCAAUUGGGGUCGCAUGUAUCUCAUCUUAACAUUUCAUAUGGUGAGAGUGAUGCUGAUGCCGGCGCCAACGAGACGCUGACUACUGCCGUCCUCGGUAACGAUGGAUCCAUCUCGUUCAGCGCCCUGCCGACUGGGAGUGGCCGGAGCACUCUCCCAUUGGGGAUUCCGCCAGACUCGUGCGACGUGCCCGCGAGCUGCGGACCGUACUCCAUCUGCAUCAACGGGACAGGGUGCCAUUGCUCUUCGGCCCUGAGCCCACAUAAAAAUCCAACUGAGUUUCAGCUAGCUCAACUCGACAGUGGAGUUGGGUACAUCGGCACAAGCUUCGCCUCGCCUGACGUGGCCAAGACCAACAUCACAGGAUGCAAGGACACCUGCAUGGCCAAUUGUUCGUGCGUUGCGAUGUUCUUCAACCAAACUUCAGGUGACUGCUUCCUCUUUGAUCAGAUUGGUAGCUUGCAGAAGAAAGCUGGGGACAGAACUGUUCUUACAACUUUUGUCAAGAUACCUAACCAUGUCUCAGGGCAAGGUGGGAGGCACACCGUUAUUAUUGUUGCCACUGUAGUCGGACCUUUGGCAUUCAUAGGGGUGCUUAUUUAUGUUGGUCUCUACAUAUAUCGAUGGACAUCAACACAAGAUCAAGAGGAAGGUUAUGGGUAUCUCCACACGAUGGCUGGAGCGCCGACACGAUUCACUUACAAGGAGCUCCAAGCUGCAACGAACAACUUCUCCGACAAGCUUGGCGAGGGAGGAUUUGGAUCAGUGUACCUCGGAACGCUCCCAGAUGGGAGCCACAUCGCUGUGAAGCAGCUGGAAGGUGUUGGCCAAGGGGAGAAAGAGUUCCGGUCUGAGGUGACAAUAAUUGGUAGCAUCCACCACAUACAUCUAGUUAAACUCCGAGGUUUUUGUACCGAGGGGGUGCACAGGCUCGUUGCUUAUGAGUACAUGGCAAACGGAUCUCUGCAUAGGUGGAUUUUUGCUAGUGAAGAAGAUGAUGCUCCAGUUCUGGACUGGGAUACGAGGUUCUACAUCACGCUUGGAACAGCAAAAGGUUUGGCAUAUCUUCAUCAGGAUUGUGAGUCAAAGAUCAUACACUGCGACAUCAAGCCUGAGAAUGUUCUACUCGAUGAUAACUUCACUGCAAAGGUAUCGGACUUCGGCCUUGCCAAACUGAUGAGCAGAGAGCAAAGCGAGGCCUUCACAACACUGAGGGGCACACGGGGCUACCUUGCACCCGAGUGGAUCACCAACUGUGCGGUCUCGGAUAAGAGCGAUGUGUAUAGUUAUGGGAUGGUCCUGCUUGAGAUAAUUAGCGGGCGGAGGAGCUUCAAUCGUGUGGAGGUCUCAGAGAAAGCCCAUUUCCCACCCUUCGCCUUCAAGAAGAUGGAGGAAGGUGAUAUUUGCACUAUCUUCGAUGCCAAGCUCAAGUAUGAUAGAGAUGAUGAUCGAAUGGAUAGAGCGAUCAAGGUUGCUCUAUGGUGCAUCCAGGAAGAUUUCCACCAGAGACCUUCCAUGUCAAAAGUUGUCCAGAUGCUUGAAGGUGUAUGUGAUGUGCCUCGUCCACCGACAUCCUCACAAACUGGAUCCAUGUUCCAUGUGACUGGUCACAAAUCAAGUGGUGCAAUACCUUCAGCUGUGCAGCUCUCUGAAGCUAGAUGA